UGACGAAAGCAAACAUUUGUUCUUUUUCUUUUGUCUGCAGGAUCCAAAAUGGCCACCUUGCAGUCCUCUCAUGGCUUCAUGGGACACUUGCAGACCAGCGAGCUGUGGUUGGAGAGCCGUCCGGUGGUGCCCUCCAUUCGUCACUGGUGAAACAUGCACGCGUCCAAAUGUUUGACACAUGUCAAACAUUUCAGCCUGUUUGUCUUUUUCUCCACCAGGUGGGGCCAAAGGUCCUAGUUUCCGUAGCAUGGUGAAGAUCUACAUGGUUUUAAUCCUGUGGCAUCAUCAACCUCUUGUCCAGGUUACUGUAAACUUGGCAUUGUUUAAAAGCACUUACCUGCUUUAUUUUUUAUGCCUCCCUCUUCCUGCAAGGAUGCAGUUGGAGCGUCUACUAUCUGCUGGCCAAAGGUAAAAGCCCUCGAAAACCAUGCAGAGGUACCUCAAGGUUGUCUCGGUUUUCAGAGUUGACUCUACAAUAAAAUGUACUAAAUGGCAGCUUGAUUGGUCUCUGUGUGCAGGUGUCCAUCCUGGAGAGUUUUUACAACAUUGAAGGAACUCUGCCUGUGCACCAGCAACUGACUGCUUCCACGCUACAGUUAAAAAUAAAAGCAGUAAACUUAAAAUGAGUUGUCAAUGUUCCUUUUUCUUUCCAGGCACAGGUGGCAAAUCCAGGUCCAGAAAGUGAAAAGCCUGCCACAGAUUGUCUUCAGCCUCUGUGAGCUCGUUGACCUGCCUGAAGAGCCCUCUGCUGUGUGAAGUACCUGCUCAUAGCGGAAGCAGAGCCGCAUACCAGCAGCUCUUUAAUGUUCUUGUUACUUACUCAGCUCUAAAGCAACCUGAGAAGCAGCAAGGAACAAAAUCAGCCUCCUGGUCAUGCUGCAAGGAACAAAAUCAGCUUCCUGGUCAUGCAGCUCGCAAUACCUGGUGCCAUAAACGGUUUGUGCACUGGCAUGGAGUAACACUCGUCCCACUGACCUAUCACUCAUCCCUCUGGCCGACCGCUUCACCACUCGUCCCUCUGGCCGACCGAUUUACCACUCGUCCCUCUGGCCGACCGCUUCACCACUCGUCCCUCUGGCUGACCGCUUC